CUGCUCCACCUUUAAAUUCAGCUAAAUGUCAAUUGGAUUGACCCUCAACUAUCUUCUGCCAUCCCUAUCCUCCUCAUGACUCUCCCUCAGUUCUCCUUUUCUUGUUUUAUCGGUGGACUUUGUUUGUUGCAUGUUUUUUUCCUAAUCAAGCUAGGAACCAUGAAAUAAGAAAUAACUCAUAUUACAUUUGUUAAUACCAAAGAUUUGAGUAUUGAUUCUCUUGUAUCAUGCCAGGCUGCAAUUCAACUUGCUGCAAGAGGCAGAAGCAACAUAUGAUACAGAUGCAUACCAUUAGACAUCACAUUAUGCCAUAAGGGAUCUGGCAUGACAACCUCCCACUAGAUGGCAUGUGCAACCUGUAUCUUCAGUCUAAUAUCGCUAAGCUUAUUCCACAAUGUACACGUACAUGACAAUCUUCCAGUACAUGACGUGCAACCUGUACCUUAAGUCCAAGUUCCCUAAGUGUUGAACCUGCCAGCAAACCAUUACUCCAGAACGUACACUUACUCCCAUUUUACUGGAUGGAUUUCACCAACUAUGGUUUUUUAACCUAUUAUUAUGUUUCAUCAGUUAUGCAACAAAUUAUGGGCAUUUAGUUAUGGUUUACGAAACCUCUUAUUACCAACCUAAAGAACUAAAGGUUUACGAAACCUCUUAUUACCAACCUAAAGAACUAAACGUAUGCAAUCAUCAAAUGACAGGUAGAACAAUCAUAUAGCGAUGACUCCCAACAAGAUGAGAGGAUAUUUAAGUUAGAUGGAAGUUAGAAAUCACAAUCAUUAUUCUAGAUCAACUAUCCAGCAUUACCCCAUUUGUCGGAUGAAACGGAACACAUUCCCCGGUCCAGGUCCUGGAACUCCACCAAGCUGCUUCCGACCCCAGUGUCUGAAACUGGUCAUUCAUAUAAAAUAUGAGAUGCUUCACAGAAAAUUCGAACUACCGAUUGAACCAAAAUUAUACUGGCGUUCGGGCUCUCACUAGAGAUGCGCAUGAAUGGAGGAUUCGACACGCGGAAGCAUCUGAUCGAGAUCGACAGUCUGCAGAGAGUCUCCGCGAUCCGGCAUCUUUGAACCGCCAGAUAGAUCAACUGUGGAGGGUAAAGAAACCAAGAAUGGGGCAAAAGAUACCGCAGAUAAUAUUACGAUGAAGAACUAAAAACACGGAAAAUGAAACGCGAAAUCCAAUUCGUAGACGAAAGUUGCCGCGCCGUACGCUCCUGAAUAGUCUCCGAGUAGAAGAAGAGAUGUCGGUCGCCAUGGGAGAAGGUUCUCCUUUACCCUUUCCGUCCUCUGCACUUAUACCCGAUGCAUACCGAUGAGUUAGUUAUCCUGGGAGAUGUAUGUGCGUGUGCGUGUGUGUGUGUGUGUGUAUAUAUAUAUAUAUAUAUAUAUAUAUAUAUAUAUAUAUAUUCAAUAACAAUAAUAAUCAUAAUAAAUUAUUGUAUUGUAAAAUUAUUAUUGCUAUUAUUAUAAUAAUAUUGAUAUUAUUAGUAACUUGAGAUAAAGGGUAUUAUGCAUGUUAAGGUUUGAUAGUUCUUUAUGGAUGUAAAUAAUAAAAGAAUGUAAUGUGGUCAUGUAAACGUACCAAAAUACAUGUUUUAUUUAACUCAUAGGCUUAAAUUAACUAGUCCAAGUCAUACAAUUACAUCCAACGGAAAUCUAAAACCUCACAGAGGAGACGGUGCUCCUAAAACUCCAAUAGUACAGUGAUACUUCGAGUUGUUGAAUACAACAGUUGACAGUGCACAAAGUACUUUGGCAGUGUCCACAGCAUAGCAGAAACGAUCCAUCAUCUAUGAGACGAGGUGAAAAAUCUGGCAGCUCGGUUUGUAAGAGCUCUUGCUUGCAGCCUGCUCGAACUUCUUCGUGGCAGCUUCAUUCUCUUGUAAGCCAGUCUGAACAAAAUAUCGUAUCCACCAGGAUGAACUCCGCAAUUUAACCUACAAACCAAAGCACGGAAUUAUCACCCAUUCGGAAUGCUUAACAAAACAAUGGUAAGACUGCUGCAACUAAGCCAUGGUACCAACACGAACAAACACUAUUUUUAUUGUCAGAUUAAGGAGCUUAAAGCGAUGAGAGAUUAAUAUAAAGAACCCUGUAAAUUCACAAGUAUCUCGAUGCUGACUAACAUUUUCAGCAUUCUCGAAAGAAGUAGGCUGCAAGACUGCAUAUUACCUUGACCAAGAUGGAUAACAGAAGCACUGACAAAAAAGAAAAUCACCUUUUUUUGUGUAAAGUUCUCAUCCCAAGCUUUGUCCCUGCUAUUUGUGACCCCAACAUACAGUUUGGUAAGAUUUGAAUUAAGAAUUAUUCAUCAUUAAAGCUCCACAAUAUAUUUGGACUUUAUAAUGUACUCAUUCUAAUUUGAUCAAGCUCUCCCGCAUUCUUUCUAGAUCACCAUUUUUCAAACUCAGAGCUCUGGCAUUGAAUUUAGUAUAAUUUCAUCAGUUGUUAAUGCUCAAAAGAUAACCUCCCAACUUAUUGUUCCUAAAAGCUAGACAGGCUUGCUGUAUCUUUCGGCUUUGUUGGUCCACCCAGAACAAGAUGAAUCUAAUAAGACUGCCCAAUAAAAGAGAGACUGAAGGUUCUAAUUCUAAUAAGAUCACACUGUUAAUAACAUUAUGGCUGACUAAAAGUUGGAAAGCCACAUCGUGUUGAAACAGAAUCAAAAUGGUAGUAGACAGCUGUAAAGCAACCAUGACAAGGUCUAAAUGCUCAAUGGGAAGGGUUGACAAUAGCUUCCCCAUUAAUUGAAGCACCAGCAUAAAAGAUGUAUAUUAAUUGAAGGACAUACCGGUUUUCCAAAUUUUGCAAGCUCCAAAACCUUGGCUCUCUGCUGACCUGGAUAUCCUACAACAUUAGGAACGAUUCUAGAACAAUGAACAUUUACUUUAAAUUUGAGUGACUAACUUGAGAGUAGAUACAACUUUUACAUAAAGCAUAGGUUUUUAUGUUGCACAAAAAUGCCACUAUAAGCAAGGCUAAGAUACAAAACUUGACAAAUGAUGAUCGACAAUAGAAACUAUCCAGAUCUUAUUGGAAUGAAAUGCAGUUGCAAAUUGCUACAAGAACAAGGAGAGAGGACACUGCCAUAUUUCAUUCUCCAUUCAAGAGGAUUACCAUCCCAACAUUCAAGACAGUAUUCAAACUUCACUUCUCCAAUUUAUAGGUUUAAAUGAGCUUACCAAUUAAUUAAUUUCCACGCUUCUAUGAUUUUAUGUUGGUUAUUACUCCAAGUACUGGUUCUUAUCCAGAAGGUAAUGCAUACAAAACCCAUAUGAGAAUACAAACCAUGUGUUAUAACUGUAAGAUAAAGUUGUCUCAAGACAGUUAAAAGCACCACAUAGACAAACCGAAGGCCAAAAUGUGGAUGACAAGUGGAACCUAUGUGGCUUUAAAAGUAAGCUUAGCAGUAAGACCCAAACUCAGAGAUCCUUCACCAGAUAUGAUAAAUUACACCAGAAGUCCAAUUCAACAGCAAUUUAAAAACCAAACAAAAUGAUGAGGCGAUAGACAUCAACUCUGAUUAGUACAAAAUGACAAUGGAGACAGUAAUCCAAUCAUGCUGAACUAGAAGACAAACAUAUUCUCUCGCUAUUAAUCAUGACUGAUUUGACAGUGAUUUUUUCAAAUUCUAACAGAACUUAUUGUUCAUGCCGUAUAGAAAUUAGAUAUCCUUCCAAAUUCUAAACAAAAGUAUUCAUCAUGACAAACAAAAGGUAAUCAUCAUGACUGAAAAGUGUACUCAUCCUGAACAAUGACACCUAAAACUUAUGGAUUUCAAUAGUACCAAACCAGUCCUUUCAAAUCUAUAUGUAUUCCAUGUAACAGAUCCAAGUUCAAUAUUGAUCUUACCAAAGUAAAAUCCUAAAAAAUUUUGAUGUUUUAGUUUCCUUACAUAUUAAACAUUAUUGUGUGUAACCAACCACGACUGCAAAAAAAUAAGGUUUUUGACAUACUCUCAAGGUUUCAAACAGAAUUUGGAAAAUAUUGCUUCAUAAUAGAUUAGCACAAGAUAAAUAAUUACCAGCAAAUAUAACAAGUCCAUCAGAUGAUACUCUUGCCAGGUCUGGAAGUGUCUUGUUAAGGUAUUUUGGAGAUAAGUAAUCCAAUGCAUCUGAGACAAUGACAACAGAAAACGACUUUGGCCUAUAUGGCAGAGAAAAUUUGAUAUCAGCUGAACGCACAAAUCCUUUACGAAUAAGCCUCUUGCAACUACUAUCAGCAUCCUCCAAGUCAUAUGGUUCCACACCCCAAGCUUCAGUAUCAUCUUCUUUUAACAAUGUAGAAACAACCGCACAAGUGUCAGGCCCUACAUGCAAAACCUUGCGCAUGGUUUGACCAUAAGCCUUCUUCAGAAAAGGUAUCGCCCGAUGAACUUCUGAUGUGCAGGAAGCACCUGCGAAUAACGGAGAAAAAUAAUCCAAGGUCGGAAAGGAGAUGGCAAACCAUACAGUUAGAACUACAGCAUAUGACAUUUGGCAAGGCUAAAGGAGCUGUAGCAUCAAGAUUCUUGCUUGCCCCACAUUAAGUUAUAUAAUAUAAAGUGCAAUUCCAAGUCGAUCUCCACCUGAAAUCAACCUUAUUGUAGUAUGAGGCAAAUGGCUUAGCGAAAUAGGCAUAUGGUUACAUUAUAUAAAAAUGAGAUUCAAAGAAAGUACCGAAUACCGUAUCAAACCAUUCUAGACAUCCCAAUCAAAGUUUAACUAUAAGGAAAUAGGAUGUGGCUUUCACCAGAACAGCCAUACAUAUGAAAAGAUUGAAGGGUGGGUGAGGCAGUAUAAAAAAAAGAACCAUUCCAAAAUAACUCUUGAACAGCCCGGGAGAUUUUUUGACACAAUACUGAUAGGAUGAAACGAAGAAAACGACACACACCUUCACCUUUGUGUAUUGCUUCCUUGUCACUGGCCAAUCCACCUGGCCAUUAGAAGGUUAAAUGGCCACAUCACAUGUCAAACGGAAUAAGACAUCAGCUAAUUAACCAGAACGACAGGAAGCUAUUGCAAAAACCACAGACACUAAAAAUCUUUAUGGGAAAUUUCACGUACCAGAGCUGCUGUAGGAGUAACCAAUGAGAAGAAAAGCACCCUGCAAUUCCAGAAAGAGCAUUCUGUCAAUUUGCACGAUUCUGCACCUAUAUGAAGAAAGCAAGGAAGCACCAUACCAAGAGGACCAGCCCUACAGAUAACAAUGGCGUGCUCCGUGACUUUGGGUGCAGUGAGCUGACAAGCGGAAUGCUUGCGCUGUCAGGCAAGCGUCGAGAUUGAUUCACUGCUCUUCUUGCUGCCAUGGCUUCCAGUUGUCGCAAUAUCUUAUGCUGACGAACAACGUAAACGAAGGGGGAGAUCAAGAUAGCAUUCUUACAAGUAAAAAGAAAACCAAAAAGAACUCUUUAAACCUAAUAUACGGUAAAGAGAAGAACAGGACCAAAUCUACAGCGCUAGGUAGAUGGAUCAAGGAACAUCUAGGCAAAAGGGACACCGAAUCCAAAGCGGCGCGACCAACGGAGUUCAAAUCUCGCAAGAAACGGGAAAAAGAAAGAGAUCGAGGGUUUGGCGUUGUUGAAUCAAAUGGAAAUCACCUGCGCUUGCGGAAUCGACGAGCGGCAUCGGAGAUUUGCAGCGCCCGUUGCCCGCCAGAUCUGAGACGAGGCGCUCGACGGACGAACGAACUUUCACUAGAAGUGCACACGCUUACGACCAGUGUCGGCGCAUUUGGGACGCGGAUCCUCUCCAACUGCACUUUUAAGCAGCAUGUCCCAAAAUCCACAUCGCAACCGUCCGUUGCCGUGGUAUCAUUACGGACGCCUUCCGAUUGGGCCGAUCCCGACUUUGACGGCCAAGAAAGUUACACCUUAAAACACACCUCUCAUAACGGAUCAAUGCUUCGCGACCAAACGCGGACGCGAGAUUAAUAUAUCCCCAUUAAUUUAUAGAACUAUUAAUUAUUAAUACUCUUUAAAAAAUUAAUUUUUAUAGUUAAAUUAAGAAUAUUAAUUAUAUUUUCUAAUUAAAGCUUUUUAUGCCUCCCUCUAAUCUAACACUUAUUAGUAUAUUUCACCAGGUUUUAUUAGAACAAUUGGCGGGCUUAUCGGCCCAUUUGGCCCAACUUCAAAUUCGUGCGAGGCUUGCUCUAAAGGAUCCGUUAGAACUCAGUCAAUCCACAUCGGAAUUGAGCUGAUUCCAUCCACUUUGAAAAUGCCAUCACGUUUUGAGAAUCGGAACAUCAAAAAUCUUCAUGAUGACUCGCUCAACAUUAUUGCUAGUAGCAUAUUUGACUAUGUGACUCUGACGCUAAUGCUAAUUUGUGGUCAUAUACGAGGAUAAAAAAUAAAAUUCUGAUAGGAAAAGAUAUGGACGAUAGACUUUGAGUGGUUGGGUUCCCGAUAUGAUCUCUUGAAAUAAAUUAGGUGAUGGUGAGUGUGAGAAAGAUUUAUCCUUUUUAUAGUCGGUCUCUUAGUCACACGAGUAUUUCUUUCCUCGAGUAGUUCAUUUUUUAGACACUUAAAUCGGUAUCAUAUACUUUUAAUUAAAAUUAAAAAUAAAUUUAAAUAAAAAUAAAAUAAAAUCUUAAUGUUUAGUUAGAGUGGUUGCAUCUUGAACACUCGCAAGAUCAAAAGGUGAGAAUCAACCUAUGAGAAUGCAAUCGAAGAAGGAGGAUCUCUUUCUCUCCAUCAUCAUCCAAACGGAGAUCGAGCUGUGGAAGCACUCGACGAACGUCGAUGGCAUCAAAUCGACGAGACGCCCAACCUUUUCUUUGGAGUGUCGGGUGCAGAUCACACAGUGUCCCAUUGGCGAACAUAGCACCACGGAGUAGGUCGAUAAAUGUAACGUCGAUUGUAGCGUUUGAACGAAUGCAAAGCCACACAUCAAAUUAGGGUGCGCGUGUAUGUACGUCACGUCUGACCUCACUCGUUUGACCGAUCUGAAAAAAAGGGAUAAAGUUUAAUAUAACAAAUAAUAUAUUGAUGAUGUAUUAAUAAAUAUAAGUAUUUAUAAUAUGUAUGAAUAAAGCAUCACCUUAUUUUAUGGUGAACUAUAAAAUAAAAAAUCAACACAAGAGAGAUUUUAAGAUAUUAUUUUGUAUCUUAUAAUUAUUAUAAAAUAUGAAAAUUAAAAGAUUUAGAUUCCUACCUUAAAUGUUUUGGGACCAACGUUUGACCACCCAGGAUUUACCGUGGUGAGAGCAGAAGAAAGGACACGGCGACAGCAGCACCGCCCUCUCUGGUCCCUCCGUCUGACCGUCUCUCGACGGUGGCAGGCCUGGAGAUGGCGUCUCUGCUUGUCCGCCAUGGCCGAUUCACGGCCUCGGUAAUUUCUCGCCUUCACGCAAUGCAUGCACGUGAGUUUGCCGCGCUUCAUCUUUGCCCGCCCCAGCCAUUCAAUACUGCCUGACGCCAUUACCGAAGACGAACCAUGCGACUGUUUCCCAGGAUUUACUGCAUGAUCGUUACCUCUCUCUUUCUCUCUCUCUCUCUUUCACGCAGACUGAGACAACUUUCCCGUGCGUGGUUCGAUCAAAAACAACGGGUGUCGAAACCAUAGAAAGCUACAGGGGUUGACGAUCUGCGAGGGAGGGCGCUGUGCGGUUGCAGCAGCGAUGGGGACUGGGGGACGAAAAUGCAUUCAUGGCGAACACCAUCACACCUCCGGCGGUAACGAUGGCACCUUAUCCACUGCAGAAUCCUCUGUGACGCGGGCAGUAAUACUGUGACGGUAGUGAAUGGAGGAACUCUCGAGAGGGGGCUGCGGCUGUCAGCCAUUAACGGUGGUCUCCAUCAUUACCAUUCUUUGCACCAUAAUCAAUAUCAUCGUUAUCGUUAUUGAUGUGUAUAUAUUUCCAACUAGUAUAGUUUCCGCUACCACAAUUAAUAUCCACCAUCAUUAUCAUCAGCGUUGACCGUCAAUGUCACUGUUGUACCUCAGUCGACAUCACUAUUAUUAUUAUUAUUGUUAUUAUUAUCAUUAUCAUUACCAUCAUCAUAAUCAAUAUUAUUUAAAAUAAUAAUAAUAAUUUGUCAACAAUAUUUUAACGAGUCAAUAAUAUUCUUCUGACCUCUCUCACAGUUGACUUAAUUAAAUUAGGUAAGCUAACUACGUGUGUCUUUUUAUCUAAUGAAUCAUGCGCAAUUUUAGCUUGAUGUGGCAUGCAUGAUGUAUUCCUUAAUCAGGUCAAACAGGCUAAGACAAAUAUUGGAUUUAUAGGAGAAGGGAGGAAAAAUAAAUAGAUGAUUGAGAAUAUUUUAGAUACGAGAUUAAAAAAAAUAUAUAUAUAUAAAUUAGUGUAUAAAAGAUUAUAAAUUAAGUGCUGGAAUAAAUUAAGCAAAAAAAAAACCCGCAACUUUCGCUCGACCGGCAGCCGAAAGCAUCGAGAAGACAAAGGAGACAAAGAAAAGAAACGGUGGAGGGAGCUCCAAUUAAUGACAGGCUAAGGUGUGGGUUGUGCUCAGUGGUUUGGGUGUUGGAGUCUGCGCUGGCACUGUUUAGGAGACCGGACCGUCUUUAAUCCGCCAUUAGAUUAAUGGACGCUUUCCCCCAUGGUGGUGGUCUUUGGACACUGCGCGCUUUGUUCCCCACCACAUGCGUCGCCCGUUGGUCUCAGACGCGCUUCCGGACUCGCUAUCAUCAUCAUCAUCGCAAGCGCACACCGCAGAGAAUGAGGAAAUCAGGAUUCCGCUGGAGCAAGUACAAGCAGAGUGUACUGCCAAAAGUGUGGGAAGAAAGCAUGCAGUAAAAGUAGGAGCUUGCUGGGUAAAAAUUAGAGUUUGCCCAGGAGGGAGGAGGGGAGAGAGAGAGAGAGAGAGAGAGAGAGAGGGGGGGGUUGCCAGGCUCAUCUUUGUCCUGUCAAGAGAAGAAGGCGGCACCCACCUGAUGUUCCCGACCUUUGAGCGACCAGAAAAACAAGGGAAGGAAGCCACUUUGCGCUACAAAAGGAGGAGGUGGAUCUGAAGCUAUCUUUCCGUGGAUGUCGAACGGACGUGCAAUGGUCUACUGUACUGCAUUCAGUGUUUGAGGAUCUUAAUUAGUGGACAGGAACAAGGAACCAGAAGCUGGUUAGGUGGAUACUUAGCUAGGUAGGUGUCGGAGUCGAGUUAAGGGGCUGGACGUGUUUAAGGUGCCAACACCUUCACGAGAUCUACUGAAGACACCACAGGAGAAGACUCCAAAAGAACCCGAGAAAAAGAGCGAGUGUUCUACGGAAGAAGGGAGAGAGAGAAGAGAGAGAGAGAGAGAGAGUUUGGGUGGAGGAAAUGGAACGUAGAAGGCAAUAGGGGAAGUACCGCUCGUUAAGGAAUCCUUUCGAUUGUCUCCGCCUUGGCUCUCCUCGCAAGGAGUUGUUAGCUUAGGGAGGAAAGCUGGCGAACCGGUGGUGGGCGGGGAGCGUGGCGAUGGGCGGAAUAGACCCCGUCGUCGCCACCACUCCCUCGACCCCUUCCCUCCAUGUCCGCAACCCCAACGCCCAACUCAGCCCCCACCGCCGAGACCUAGCGGACAACCCCGCUACCCCGAACAGCAGCAGCAGCAAGAACAACAACAACAACAACAACCAUGUCAAGGACGACGACGCCGGCACCGGAGACGACCACUCCGGCGGUGGCGGUGGUGGCCUUGACAUGGUCGAAGCCGGAUCAGGCGGGAGCGGAGGCGGUAGCGGCAACUCCGGACGCCGCCCUCGGGGCCGGCCGCCCGGGUCGAAGAACAAGCCGAAGCCGCCCGUCAUCAUCACGAGGGAGAGCCCCAACGCGCUCCGCUCUCACGUCCUCGAGAUCGUCAGCGGCACCGACAUCAUGGACGCCAUCGCCGUCUUCGCCCGCCGCCGUCAGCGCGGCGUCUCGAUUUUGAGCGGCAGCGGCGUCGUCACCAACGUCACGCUCCGGCAGCCCGCCGCGCCGCCAGGCUCCGUCAUCACUCUCCAUGGACGGUUCGAGAUCCUCUCUGUGUCAGGCGCAUUCCUUCCGGCGCCGUCGCCCCCAGGCGCCACGGGGCUGACCGUGUACCUCGCCGGUGGGCAAGGGCAGGUGGUGGGUGGGGUCGUGGCCGGGGAAUUGGUGGCCUCGGGGCCGGUUUUGAUCAUAGCAGCCACCUUCGCUAACGCCACCUACGAACGGUUGCCGCUCGGCGACGACGAGCCCGAGGCGGCUGCAGCACCACCGGGAUCGGAGGAAAUGCAGUUGCUACAGAGCCCAGGAGGAGAUGGAGCAGGUGGUGGUUCGUCGUCACACCAGCUGCAUGCCGGAUUGGCGACCGACCCCCCUCUCUUCAAUCCACCGCCGAGCCUGCUUCCCAAUGGGCAGAUGCCGCACGAGGUGUUCGGUGCGUGGACCUCAACGAGUUCGCGUCAUCCGCCAUCCUACUGAGUACCAAAACCUCUCUCUCUUUCACAUACAACAUACAUUUCUGUAGAAGGAGAACCAAUAGUCAUGCUGCUAGUUCCAUCUACAUCAUGCCUUCCAUCUUAAUACUCUUGCAUCAUUUUGUGAACUUUUAGACGUGUACUAUUGCUAGUUGCAGUUUCUGAUGGUUAUUUUGGUUUGUUUCUUCUUUCUUUCUCACCAUUUCUCUUCAAUCUAUAUAUUUUGCCCGAGAGAGAGAGAGAGAGAGGAGGAUUUCUGAUUAAUGUCCACUGCUCCACUGCAUCUUUCCUGAGUCGGCUGUUUCCAUUUCAAGUUUGGAUGAGGAUGUUGGGGGGUUGGAGUGCAUGCUUCAAUGCCAAGAAAGGGAGAUGUGCACCCAUGCUCUAUUAGGUUUGGUCUUUUCUAGGUAAGAAAAAGAACCCAUUAGAGACAAUGGUGGUAAAACGUUAGGUUGCAAGUUGCAGGAAUGGCAUAGUGAUCCUCUUGUUCUCUUUUCCCUUUCUGCCAUCUGCGUGGCGUAUGAAACUAUAAGACUAUCAGUUGACUUAUUACAUUUAGUUUUCUGUUUUCGCUGGGAAUCAAACUUUGAGUUUGUAUUUAUCAGAAUUAGAGCUUCAUGUUCUGAGAGGUUGAUCUGAGAUCAACUAUUGUUAUCUCAUGCAGCCAUCUCGCUUGCUACUGAAGUCUAUCCUUCUGAAUUGCACAAGCAGAUAAUCGUAUUUAGUUUUCAGGGUCGAAGGCUUCAGUGAGGCUACCAUUAGAUAUGAAUUCGCUUAUUUGAAACUAGAUUGAUAUAUUUUUCAAAUGACAUCGAAAAAUGAUUGCUUAUGUUUUUAGACAAACAGAAUUAUCUAACUCAUAAUCUAAAAUUAGUAACAAUUAUUUUUACCCUAAGGAUUUGGAGACAUUAUUUAUAUAGGCAAAACCAAAUUCAUCCGAAACACAGAAUUGUUUCAUGAUUUAACCUGCAAUUUACACGUUAUUAAGUUUUUUUUAUGAUUUAACCUACACUUUACACAUGAUUGAGUUUUUUCAUGAUUUAACCUGUACUUUACACAUGAUUGAGUUUUUUCAUGAUUUAACCUGUACUUUACACAUGAUUGAGUUUUUUAUGAUUGUCAUUUUAUAGGGAGACUUAGAUAUUAAAGAUUAUCCCAAAGACUAAAUCAAAAGUAAAUUCACUCUUUCGAUUUGGAGAUAAACAAGUCAUCACGCAGGAGCCUUGUGCACCGGUAAUCUUGCCGGUGGGCAAUGGCAGAUUGCAUGCAUCUCCAACCAUUUUACACAUAAUUGCUUUAUAGGUUUUCCUUAUGUUUAUGUGCUAAUAUCGUGUGAAUCUUUUAGCAUCAUAUCUUAUAGUUUACAUGAUCAUAUUGGUCUGCCCAUAUACAGAAAUGUGUAGAUGAUGAUAUGAACAUAUGUAUUUUAACAACUUAAGCCACUUGCCAUUAUUCUUCAACAUCUUUGCUUAUAUUCUCCUCAUUUUUAGCUUUAAUGUAGAAGAAAAUGAUCCAAAUUCAUAAUUGGAUAAACCAUUUCCUAUGACAGUGCCUAGCUUUCCCUAUAUUAUUAUUAGCUCCAUUCUUGAACUAUUCAUAAUUCAAAUAAGUACUUGACCAAAGCUUGUGUUUAUUUAUGCUAUGCAUGUAGGUAGCAGCAGAAAGAUGAAACUCCAAAUCCAUGUUGUUUCUGCUACGGAAACAUGAGUUCAAUUUUAGGCAGCCUUCAUCUGUCUACUAAACCAUUCCUUUCUCAAUAAAAUACUCUACUAAACUCAAGUGCAACCUUCGUGUUUCUGUUUUUAAUGUUUCAUUUAUCAUUUGGUUGCCUAUUUCCAAUUAAGAGUUGUAUACUAUUUGCAGUGAUCUAUAUAUAUCACAAGGUAUCAUUCAUUUCCCUUUGACAACUAUUCAUGGACGAUUAUUCAUGCCAGAGACGACUGACGACAUUCAUGCAGAUUACUGGUCAAGUAGUUGUUUGAUGAACAAGAUCCGAGUAUUACCUGGAAACCAUCUGUGGAGGUGAUGUUAGAUGCAACAUCCAUUCGCAUGAUCCUUCGUGGUUGCAAAUGAAGAAUAUGAAACCUGCUCACAGGCAAUUGACGAACUCUAUUACUAACAAAAAUAUCAACAAAAGGAAAACUGAUGACUCUUCUUAUCGAGGGGCAAGAGUAGUUCUGAGUCACCAGAAACCUGUUGUCUUAGUCGUCUGUGGUCAAAAGGCAAUCUCCUGCGCUGCUGUCUCAGACCUUAUCAAAACAAUGUGAGGACAGUCGGUGGAGCUUCUCAUCUCUCUUCGCUCGGUUCAUUUCAUCACAUGGGCUCACCAAACCUUCUUUUCUGAAACAUAUCCUGAAAAGAAGAAAGAAAGCUAAUUCAUUGCAUUUGUUUUGCGGUGUCAUUAUCAGAAGUUUCCGGGUCAAAGGCCAUUAGUUUAUAAGCUUCUGCGGAAAAUUCAAAGGGUGGGUAAACAAUAAACUUCCAACUACAGCAGUGGAGAGUCAAACCAGAUGCACCCUUAUCUUAUGAGCGCACUUUGUCAACGAAGUUAAAUACGGCACUGGUUUAAGGAAUUCUAAGUGAAUUUGAUGUUCCGAUUUAUGCCACUUUGGUUUUGAUAUUCCACUUUAACCGAGCUGCUCUCAGUAUGGCUAAGGACAAGUUUACUUCUGUAGGAGAUGAUAGGGCUCCCAUCGUCCUUGUUCUAUCGACUAUUUAGCUUCCCACUCUCUCCUGGAGCGUGUGUAGUGUAGAACACAACUGUACUUCUCAUAAUACCAACAACCUCUCUGGGUCCUCUCACCCUGAGUUGUGAAGCAAGUCCCUGGUGGUGCUGGGGAGCGAGAGAACAGGGAGACGUGAUAUCAAGUAAGUACAACAGUGUGUAUAGGGAUAAAAGAAAGGAAGUUGUGGUAGCAAGAGACGGUACCUUUCCACACCACGUGCUUGCAGAAUCUUUCACAUCAUUGAGCACAAUAAAGGGAGGGGUGUCGACAUCCGGCGCUUGCCGCUUUCUUAUCCCAAUGUCCGGUUGCAUGCAUCUUCACGGCACCUGCACGGUAGAGGAGCGUUGGCCCAAUCUGCGCCUCCGACUCGCCAUCAACUCGCGCUUUGUCCUGUCCCUGUGGUGGGCCGCCAUCUCUGCUUCGGCUUUGUUGUGCUGACCUCUCGAACAGUUAUCGAACGUGUGUAGUUUAUCCGGAUCUGCGUUGGACUGAGAGAAAAAUCUUGGCAUGGCAGAUCCGAAGGUCUCGUUUCCUCGUGAAACAGCAGGUACAGCCACGGAUUCCAUUCGUUGCACGAAGGGAACAUAAUUGCAGUGAACCUGAAAGCAUGACGAUAAAUCUUUAAGUACGAUAGCGAAAAUUCAUAGAAUUAUUUGUGAUGUAACUAUGUAUCGGCUUGCAAAGACAGGUUUGAGAUACUUCAGACAAAUAAUUUUGCAUUGUCAGUGUGCACAAGGUUGAAAGGGUAAGACAGACAUCAUAAGUUAGGCCUUUUUGAUGCCAAGGCAACUCAUAUUACUAGUACUAUGUAUAGAAUGUCAACUGCAAAGCAAGUGGAUUACAGGUUAUAUCUGCAGCAGUUAAUUCUGAUUUGAGGUAGUAAAGGAGGUCUUGCGCAUGGGAGGCUCUACCACGUCUUUCUUGACAGUGUUCCUAUCAAUAAGUUAACCACAAAGUCGAAUCAGUCUUCACUUGAAGAAAAAAAGAGCAAUUAAUUUUUUCAAGUACUAACACUCACCAAUGAAGUUACUACCUUUACCCAUUUGGGAUCUCAAUAGUUGCGAUAUGACUAGAGCUUUCGAUUCUCAAUACACCAUAUGCACCACAAGGUCACUUUUUCCUGAGGAUGUUAUCGAAUACCAAAUACUGAAGAAAUAUCAUGCCGAGGCCCUCGCAGCUUAUGAUGGAUGAGACUUUGAACUACAAGGAACUAGCAUAUAGAUCCUAAAGGAAGUAUCAAGUACAAGAUGUGGCUAGUCAAAGCAAAGUUAAAGCCUUAAAGUAAUUCAAGCUCCAACAGAAAAAAAAAAAAAAAAAAAGUCUUUAUAAAGCUAUAUAUAAAUUCCAAGAAGAUAUAGCAGUCAUGUGUGCCAAAGUUGCACCACAAAUUCAACUCAAUGGCAUCCCUAUUUUGCCACUUUAGCUGACAAAGUAAAAUAGAAUGCAUAAAACAGUAUGCUAUACGAAAAGAUGUGCUUAAUCCUUACGAUGAUUGUCUAACACAAAGUGGAGGUGAUGGAGGAAAACUUUAUCUAUGGAGACAAACAUUUAAUGCAUAAUGGCCUUUCUUUAAUAUUUAGGCAUAUCGGUCUCUUCAGAAUCCUAAUGAUACCUAUGAAUUUCACUGCUUGUUUCUGUUUUGCUCUUAGAUAUCUUCACAGAUAAUAUGACAACAUGACUCUCUGUAUACCAUCACUAAACGAUUUAUGGCAUCAAAUACAGAAAGUUCCACAUAAGAGCUUUUAAGGACCAGCUUAUUAGACACUUCUUUGGACACAGAUGCAUCUCAUGUGGUCAUCUUGGACAAAUGUCAUUUAUCAUGAGAAAUACCAUUUUCGAAUGUUCUUUACCCUUCCGUGACCAUAUUCCGUUUUGUUUGAAGAUCCUGCAACUUGUUUUGUACAUGUCUUUUCAGAAGAUCCAAUUGCCUGUCAAAAAUAUGAUUAAUAAACAUCCAUACAGAAACUAGGUAGAAUGCGCUAUCGGCGAUUAAUGAGUAUUUGCACAAAAAAUCACAAAAGCAAAUAAAGAAAAAGGAAGCAUGGCGCUCAACACCAGCAUCUGUACCGAGCACAUCAAACUUAUUUACAGUCACUAACUCAGUGAUAUCAAAAGCAAAGUUGACUGAAAAACAUCAAAGGGCAAAAAGAUUGUCGUUGUAGAACUUAUAAAUAUGUGAUUCAAAACAUGUGUGGUCACAACAAAUAAAUUUAUCCGUAUGCAACUUUAUCCAUGCAGCAGUCUUUUCACCCUAUGCAUUUAUGAAUAUUGGUUGAAAUAAAAAGUGAGACUCAUAUGAAAACAAGAAGUGACUCCCAGCAUAACCGAGUCCAUCCCCAGUCGAUAAACCAUGUGAUGAUUCAAAACAAUAUGUACAGAUAAUUAAUUCCAUGGAACCCACACCAAAAAUAGUGCAGCACAUGAGAUGGGGAUGGGAAACUAACCUAAACAUUUCAUUGGCUAGUCCACGUUCAUAGAAUGAGCUGAUUCCGAUGGAAAUACAAACCUCAACCAAUCGCAGUCAACAAACAGACUCGGAAUCGGCAAGCGAUCGGUUAAGAGAUUCGGAAACAUUUUACAGAGAGCUGCUGCAGCUCCCGUCUUCACAUUUUUCUUUUUGCAGGUCAGAUUUCUAAUUGUUGCACCAAAGACUUAACAGGCUGUCUCUGCUACCUGUUUUAUCUAUUUUAUAAAGGACCCACAUGGUAAUUCUUUAGAGUCAUUCGAGUCACUCUACUACUUUUUUUUUUUCACUUCGCACUCCACCUUCCAUCCUUGCCAUGUUCAGACUUUUCCACAAUAGCCAUCUUAUUUUCUUGCUAUCCCAGAUUUCUGCCAUCAAUUCCUUAGAUCUAGUUUUCUGACUUCCUUCUGUAACCUAAGUCUAGUGAGACCAUCUCCAAUUCCAUUUUUUUUGUAUAAAGAUCACAGUUCACGGAUUCUAGUGAAAUAAUUAAGCCAGAAUGUGUUAGAAUUUUAAUAUACUUGCCCCCUGUUAUAAGUAUCAUAUCAAGAAUAUUUAAGAGAAUAUUCAUGUCUGUUAUUAGGGUUUGAAAGAUUCAGGCAGCAUAUAUCGGGUUUGAUACAUAACUUAAGAAUCUUAAUCUUUUGGAUUAAAUUAUUGUUCAAUUUCAUGUAUAUUAACAUUGGCUAGUUUGACUUUAGAUUCAUUGUUAAGUUCAAUAUGAUAUCAAAAUUCAAAGCCAAGAUCCUCAAAGGAAAAAUAAGUGAGUAAAAAAAAGAAAGCUAGAUGUUGACCACAGUCAAGUAAAAAAUGAGAACAUGUCUAAUCGCUCUUUGAUAUAUUCUUAUGAAUAAAGGAAAGAUGUUAAAAGAAUAUUUAUGUAUGAGGUGAAGAUUAAAAGGACUAGAAUUGCCUUGCAUAAUUAAGGAUUAAAAAAGCUGUAUGAUAUAUUAGGUUUGGCACAUAGAGUUAAAAAAACUGAAUGAUUUCUAUGAAACUAUAAUAACUAAUAGAGUUAUGUCAUCUCAGAAUUUGUAAGUGGUCUAUGAUCACUUCAAUUAAUCAAAAAGUUAAUUGCUUUGCUGUAUAACCAAAAAGGGAGAUAGGGAAAUUUGCUCAAAACAUAAGAAAGAUGUAACAAUGUAAUUGACAAUAGAAUAGCAGAAGUAAAAUGUUGAUCACCUCUUACGUUGAGUUUCCUUCCUUUUUAAGCUCAUGUUUGCAGAAUGACCUCAGGAGCCUGGAGACUGAUCAACAGCUAAUCCAUCAAAAGAAUACUCUUCACGAAUGAAUUCAUUAGCAUGGGUCCUUUGCUUUCUCAUACCUGCUGCAGAAUUGUUACCAUUCAUCGAAGACACAUUCUCCCCGAGCAUUAGAAUCAGCAUGGAUGCAGAGAUAACUUGAGAAUCAAGUUUGACAUUAGAGAAGAUAAAAGAAUGAACUUAACCUGACAUGGCUAGCUUGUUUCCCCCAAACAUUUGUUAUUGGGCUGUUAUGCCACCAUUGGAAUUGUUCUGUGAACUGAGCAGAAAUCCCCAAAGCUCCUCAAGAACUUCUUUUCCAGAAAUCCCGUGAGUUGGAUCUGAAUCUGUUUCCCAUCCACCACCUGCAUAACAACUUAAAACUAAGCAUCUGCAUUCUGCACAACUGUGAUAUACUUAAAAGCAUAGACAACGAGAAGUCCAUAAACGAAAGCCAAUGAGGGCUUCAUCCUCAAACCCAAGAAGGUCGCCCUACUCGCAAUCCUUGGCCUUAUCACAGUAAAUCCAUUAAAGACCGAAUCGGUUCCUUCGAUCGCGAGAAAGAGGAUUUCGCUUACCAGGAACAGGAAGAAGCCGCCCGACGUCUUCUUCCCCUUCCUCUAGGGAUUCGAUGCGAGGGCCACGAGCGGGUGCGAGAGCGCAGGCGGCAAAGAUGGUUUCGAAACGCAGAGAUCGCGCAUUUAUAGUUGGGCUCGCGCGGGGAACAUCGCCGUGUAUUGGGCCUCACAUUUGGCCCACUAGUGGAUUCAACAGGCCAAGAUAAUGGGCUGAUCCGUAGAAGUAAAUAAGCCCAUCGGUAUCUCCUGAGGACCUCAUAGUAUAAGAAUACGACUCUUCCAUGUAUUUGGCAUUACUGUCACUCGGGUUGGCUAUUCGACCAAUAAUAGAUUCGAAUUAAGUAAUAAUAAUAAUCAUAUAUGCCCAUGUUUUUGGACAUAUGGUGACUUAUUUUAUGACAUAAAAUAGAAAAAAAAUGAAAUCAUAUUAUUGGUGAUGAGAUAUUGAUCGAAAAAGAAGAAUUCAUCAUCCGUAAUGAUCUUAUAAUUGCAUAUCUAAGAGUUCAUAUAAUAGGACAGAUGAUCAUAAAAAUUGAAAGAGUAUCCUGAGAAUCAUGGUUGGAGAUAAGGUGAUGAUCAAAGUUAAUUACGCGUCAAAUUUGAAUAUUUCGGAGUCAUUCUUUAAUAUGGUACUAGGGUGUCAAUCACAUAUUGUUAAAUCGUCGAUCCGAAGGUGUAUACCACAUGUUACUGAGGUAUCGACUAUAUAUUGCUGAGUGUCGAUUUUUUUAUUUCUAAUGGUUAUUUCAUUUUAUUUUCAUUCUUAAGUUUAUAAUAGUAUAAGACAGCUUUCUAGAUACUCCUCACUUGCUCCUUUCAUUGCUUUCAACUGCAAUCUUCAUAGUGGAUGAAAGGAUAAGUCCAGUUUAGAAGAAGCUCUUCGUGUUGUAGUGGCUAAGUGUGGUUUGGUAGUUCAGACAGCAGGAGCAAAAGUAGAGUAUGUUGUGCACCUUCUUGUUGAUUUGCAUGUCCUUCUCAAUUGUUUUUAGCUUAGCUUAUCAUCCACCCACUGUUACUGAGCCAGAUUGAUUUUGAAGUCCCAACUCUUAUCUGGAAAGCUUCGAUAGAAGAACCUUAAAACAAAAGCUUUCUGGGGAGGAAGAUGGAGAAAAAUUGUUAGGACCUUUUGUGCCAUUUCGUUUGCUGACCACACAGAUUUCUUGCAAGAAUUCCUGGCUCUCAUUUCUUCCUCAGGCUUAUCUAUCAUCUGCAGCUUCUUGACCAAGUAAGAGAAGACAAAGUUUUGGUGUCUUGUGAUUCUGAGGAUUCUAAUUGGUAGUAAGGCAACCAAUCAAAUUUUGUGUUGCCACAGUCCUGCAAUAAUGACAAUUGUUUUGCUGUCAUGGCCUUCCGAAAUAUUUUGCACUCCAUUCAAUUCUUUCGGGAUGAAAAGGAUGCACAAGAAAACAUAGGGCCUCUGUUUUCUUAAUGCUUUCUCUCUGCAUUUUAUCUGGUGAUGAGCACCCAAAGAACAUCGGGUGGCAAAGAAGACAUCGGCGCUCACAGCCACACUCCGCUCUCUUCCUCCACCGAAGCCACACGCAUCUGAAUGUUCUGAUCCGGACGCUGCUCACGUAACACUGUGUUAUCGGCUGCGGCGGCGACGCGUGUCCCGACCCUAAUCUCGAGCCUGUGGCUCUUACAGUCCAUCAAGACGAUCCACAGGAUCAUCAUGAGGAAGAAAGAGCUCGGAGAUUGCACUCCACACCAUGGUUCAGUCCACAGCCUCCCCAUAUAAAAUUGCUCCCACUUCCAACAAGUUUGGCAUUCGAGUGGUGCGGCUCGUCUUCCUCGAUCUCCGUCCGUCGAAGCUUUUCGGCUAUCUGUCUCGCUCUCUCCCUCGGCUUCCAGAUGGCUGCCGCUGUCUCCACCGUGGGAGCCGUCAACAGAGUGCCGGUACUGCUGUCUUCCGCCCACCUUUCUCUUCGUCCUUGUCGAGAAUUCUCGGUUAUGUAGAUCUGUUUCUUGCUCCAGUUGAGCCUGCAUGGCUCUAGUUCGGGAGCCCCGGUGCCGAGCUCGGCUUUCUUCGGGAGCAGCCUGAAGAAAGUGAACUCCGGUCCGAGCCAUGGGAGGAACUCCACCGCCACUUUCAAGGUCUUGGCUGCUGAUCUCGAUGAGUCGAAGCAGACUUCCAAGGACAAAUGGUCAGGGCUUGCCUACGACGUCUCCGACGACCAGCAGGACAUCACCAGGGGAAAGGGCCUCGUCGACUCGCUCUUCCAAGCUCCCAUGGGCGACGGCACUCACAUCCCCGUCAUGACCUCCUACGAGUACAUCAGCCAGGGUCUUCGCCAGUAAGGAACCAUUCGAUAUCUUGAUCUAUCAUAGCUUUCAGCCUUCUUCCUCGUCGGUAUCCACUGAACCGUUUGGUCUCAGAUACAACCUCGACAACACCAAGGACGGCUUCUACAUAGCUCCGGCUUUCAUGGACAAGCUUGUCGUGCACAUCACCAAGAACUUCAUGGCCCUCCCGAACAUCAAGGUAAUCCCAUCCUACCUCAUCUCAUGCGGUCGCUGCCAUUGAUUUCUGGUUGAUGUGGAUUCUAACUGGGCGGUGACAGGUUCCCCUCAUCUUGGGUGUCUGGGGAGGCAAAGGCCAAGGGAAGUCAUUCCAAUGUGAGCUCGUGUUCGCCAAGAUGGGGAUCAAGUGAGUGCUUCCUUGAGUUCAUGACAUGUUGUUACGGCUCAGAGGUCUUUGGUGUCUCUCGUUCAUGCUCCGUGUCGAACACUUGGCAGCCCUAUCAUGAUGAGCGCCGGAGAACUGGAAAGCGGCAACGCAGGUGAGCCAGCGAAGCUGAUCAGGCAGCGGUACCGUGAGGCAGCAGACAUCAUCAAGAAGGGGAAGAUGUGUUGCCUCUUCAUCAACGACCUCGACGCAGGAGCGGGAAGGCUCGGCGGCACCACCCAAUACACCGUCAACAACCAGAUGGUGAACGCCACGCUGAUGAACAUCGCCGACAACCCGACCAACGUGCAGCUCCCGGGAAUGUACAACAAGCAGGAGAACCCUCGCGUUCCCAUCAUCGUCACCGGCAACGACUUCUCCACUCUCUACGCGCCUCUCAUUCGUGACGGCCGUAUGGAGAAGUUCUACUGGGCGCCGACCAGAGAUGACCGCAUCGGCGUCUGCACGGGCAUCUUCAGGACCGACAACGUCCCCACGGAGGACAUCGUCAAGCUCGUAGACUCCUUCCCGGGGCAGUCCAUCGGUAAGCUUCCCAAAAACACAAGAUUCACAUGAUCUGUCACCGACUCAUCCGAUCGCAUGUAUCUCCAUGGCCAACGUGCAGACUUCUUUGGUGCUCUUCGGGCCAGGGUCUACGAUGACGAAGUGAGGAAGUGGGUGGGAGACAUUGGAGUGGACAAGGUUGGAAAGAAGCUGGUCAACUCGCUCGAAGGGCCACCAACCUUUGAGCAGCCCAAGAUGAGCUUGGAUACGCUGAUGGAGUAUGGCAACAUGCUGGUGAAGGAACAGGAGAACGUGAAGAGGGUGCAGCUGGCCGACAAGUACCUGAGCGAGGCUGCGCUCGGAGACGCCAACGCAGAUGCCAUGAAGACUGGCUCUUUCUACCAGUAACUCCAUGAUGGUUGCAGGCAAAGCAGCCCAUCCGUCUCUUACGAUCCUCGAUGAACGCAGAGCUGCAUGCAUAAAUUCCAGGCUUGUAGUUUGUGUGGAUAAGUGGGCGAAUAUUAUUAUCAGCCUCUGUAUCGGUGAUACAUAUAUUAUGUGCAUUUUCCUCAGUUUUGGAAGGC
rnacentral:lncRNA from 1 species